AUACAGCUGCGUUGUACGUAAUGAAUAAUUAAGUUUUAACCUUUAAGCUGUAAAAGGGAGUUUAAAAUUAAAAUGAGAAUGACAUGCCUCUUUUCAUAACGGGAGGACACGCAUGAACAUUUUUGCAAACACCCACUUUGAGGAGUGGUGGUUUAAAACUUUCUUAUAUAAUGAAAUACGGCAAAGGCGGCUCAUAU
rnacentral:other from 1 species